rnacentral:rRNA from 1 species
AAAUUGAAGAGUUUGAUCAUGGCUCAGAUUGAACGCUGGCGGCAGGCCUAACACAUGCAAGUCGAGCGGAAACGACACUAACAAUCCUUCGGGUGCGUUAAUGGGCGUCGAGCGGCGGACGGGUGAGUAAUGCCUAGGAAAUUGCCUUGAUGUGGGGGAUAACCAUUGGAAACGAUGGCUAAUACCGCAUGAUGCCUACGGGCCAAAGAGGGGGACCUUCGGGCCUCUCGCGUCAAG